UCAGGCGAAACCUGAUGAAAUGACAGUGGGGAUUAGAGCUGGAGAAUAACCUGAUCUAAGGGAGUGGCUCACAGACAUGUUGUUGGACGGUGAGAAGGAGGAAGGGGUGGACGUGGGAUCCAAUCGGAGAGAAGGGAGUGGGAAAGGAAUUAAGUUUCCAGUGGAGUGCUCCCAAGAACUCAGCUGGCCUGUGCUUCAUGUAGUGUGCACAGUCAACACCAGGUUUUCCCUGUGAACGGUCUGAAGAUCUAUUUGGAAUUCUGAAUAUCUUUGUCUCAGAGAUAUAUAGACAGACACCUAAGAAGGAGACAGGAAGCCCCCUGACCAAAUUCUGCACAAUUCCCUCUUCAAAAUGGCUGAAACCCUGCAGGAGGACCAUAUUCUGCCCAACAAGAUGUGAAACGACGAAGGGUACGGCUAUACCUACGAAAAGACACCGUGAUCCCAUGAAUUACUGAACAAUAUGAACGCAGAGGAGGAUUGCUUCAUUUGCAUUCAGACUGGGACAAUCUGAAAGGUCCAAGCCAGGAAGAGAGAAAGCGGCAUUUCCCCAGCACUGGCCUUCAAAUAAAUCAGGGCCGCGGAUCCCUUUCAACUCUGCAAUCUGAUCUCUUCC